rnacentral:rRNA from 1 species
GAUGAACGCUGGCGGCGUGCCUAAUACAUGCAAGUCGAGCGAACGGACGAGAAGCUUGCUUCUCUGAUGUUAGCGGCGGACGGGUGAGUAACACGUGGAUAACCUACCUAUAAGGCUGGGAUAACUUCGGGAAACCGGAGCUAAUACCGGCUAAUAUUUUGAACCGCAUGGUUCAAAAGUGAAAGACGGUCUUGCUGUCACUUAUAGAUGGAUCCGCGCUGCAUUAGCUAGUUGGUAAGGUAACGGCUUACCAAGGCAACGAUGCAUAGCCGACCUGAGAGGAUGAUCAGCCACACUGGAACUGAGACACGGUCCAGACUCCUACGGGAGGCAGCAGUAGGGAAUCUUCCGCAAUGGGCGAAAGCCUGACGGAGCAACGCCGCGUGAGUGAUGAAGGUCUUCGGAUCGUAAAACUCUGUUAUUAGGGAAGAACAUAUGUGUAAGUAACUGUGCACAUCUUGACGGUACCUAAUCAGAAAGCCACGGCUAACUACGUG